CGGGGCACCUGAUCCUUCAUGCCGCGUGAGUGAAGAAGGCCUUCGGGUUGUAAAGCUCUUUUGUCAGGGAAGAAACAGCAGCUCUAACACAGCUGUGAAUGACGGUACCUGAAGAAUAAGCACCGGCUAACUACGUGCCAGCAGCCGCGGUAAUACGUAGGGUGCAAGCGUUAAUCGGAAUUACUGGGCGUAAAGCGUGCGCAGGCGGUUAUAUAAGACAGGUGUGAAAUCCCCGGGCUUAACCUGGGAAUUGCAUCUGUGACUGUAUAGCUAGAGUGUGUCAGAGGGGGGUAGAAUUCCACGUGUAGCAGUGAAAUGCGUAGAUAUGUGGAGGAAUACCAAUGGCGAAGGCAGCCCCCUGGGAUAACACUGACGCUCAUGCACGAAAGCGUGGGGAGCAAACAGGAUUAGAUACCCUGGUAGUCCACGCCCUAAACGAUGCUGACUAGUUGUUCGGGAUUUUAUCCUGAGUAACGUAGCUAACGCGUGAAGUCAGCCGCCUGGGGAGUACGGUCGCAAGAUUAAAACUCAAAGGAAUUGACGGGGACCCGCACAAAGCGGUGGAUGAUGUGGAUUAAAUCGAUUGCAAGCGAAAAACUUUACUUA
rnacentral:rRNA from 1 species